rnacentral:misc_RNA from 1 species
UCAAGGGCGGUCUCAAUACCACAGGCCGGGUCAUCAAAUUGUGGCCUUGAUGAUCCUUUCUGCGCUUUAUUUGUUUCUCUCUUUCCCUUUCCAUCUCACUCUCCAUGGAGAUAUCAGGAACCAAACGAUGCUGACCCUGAAGGUAUGAGCUCUUGCUGUGAAAUUGAUGGUGGCGCUGAGACUUGUGUGGCAUAUAUUGCUUACUUAAAUGUCAAGAAUCGACUGGUUCGACUACAAGAAGCAGCUGAAGAGGGGAGAUCAAUGGAAUGUGGAGGUCUACUAACCGCUGAAUUUUGCAGGUGACAUUUUGUGUUGUGCGUAUCUGUAAGUGAGGCCAGGGUGUACUGCGUAUAUAAUGUAGAUAGUGAGUGUGUUCUGCGUUUUUUUACUAUGGCAGUCUCUGUUUAUAGAUUUGUAUAAGUACUCUUAAUAUUAUGCCUAUUCGAUUU